UACGGAGGGUGCAAGCGUUAUCCGGAUUCACUGGGCUUAAAGGGUGCGUAGGCGGUUUGGUAAGUCCGUGGUGAAAUCUCCGAGCUUAACUCGGAAACUGCCAUGGAUACUAUUAGUCUUGAAUAUUGUGGAGGUUAGCGGAAUAUGUCAUGUAGCGGUGAAAUGCAUAGAUAUGACAUAGAACACCAAUUGCGAAGGCAGCUGGCUACACAAAUAUUGACGCUGAUGCACGAAAGCGUGGGGAUCAAACAGG
rnacentral:rRNA from 1 species